AUUGAACGCUGGCGGCAUGCUUUACACAUGCAAGUCGAACGGUAACAGGCCGCAAGGUGCUGACGAGUGGCGAACGGGCGAGUAAUGCAUCGGAACGUGCCCAGUCGUGGGGGAUAACUACUCUUAAGAAUAGCUAAUACCGCAUACGAUCUAUGGAUGAAAGCGGGGGACCGGAAGGCCUCGCGCGGUUGGAGCGGCCGGUGUCGUAUUAGGUAGUUGGUGGGGUAGAGGCUCACCGAGCCAACGAUCUGUAGGUGUUCUGGGAGAGAGACCAGCCACACUGGGACUGAGCCACCGCCCAGACUCCUACGGGAGGCCGCAGUGGGGAAUUUUGGACAACAGGCGCAAACCUGAUCCAACAAUGCCGCGUGUAGGAAGAAGGCCUUCGGGUUGUAAACUGCUUUUGUACGGAACGAAACGGCUCUGGUUAAUACCCGGGGCUAAUGACGGUACCGUAAGAAUAAGCACCGGCUAACUACGUG
rnacentral:rRNA from 1 species